CUGCUGACUUCAGCAGUACAUAUACUAAAACUAGAAUGACACAGAGAUUAGUAAGGUUCAUAUGCAAGGAUGACAUGUAAAUUUGUGAAGUGUUCCAUAUUUUU
ensembl:snRNA U6 U6 spliceosomal RNA